GAUGAACGCUGGCGGCGUGCCUAAUACAUGCAAGUCGAGCGAACAGACGAGGAGCUUGCUCCUCUGACGUUAGCGGCGGACGGGUGAGUAACACGUGGAUAACCUACCUAUAAGACUGGGAUAACUUCGGGAAACCGGAGCUAAUACCGGAUAAUAUAUUGAACCGCAUGGUUCAAUAGUGAAAGACGGUUUUGCUGUCACUUAUAGAUGGAUCCGCGCCGCAUUAGCUAGUUGGUAAGGUAACGGCUUACCAAGGCAACGAUGCGUAGCCGACCUGAGAGGGUGAUCGGCCACACUGGAACAGAGACACGGCCCAGACUCCGACGGGAGGCAGCAGUAGGGAAUCUUCCGCAAUGGACGAAAGCCUGACGGAGCAACGCCGCGUGAGUGAUGAAGGUCUUCGGAUCGUAAAACUCUGUUAUUAGGGAAGAACAAAUGUGUAAGUAACUAUGCACGUCUUGACGGUACCUAAUCAGAAAGCCACGGCUAACUACGUG
rnacentral:rRNA from 1 species